rnacentral:lncRNA from 1 species
GUCUUUUCUCGUUGAUUAAUGAUGGCGUUGGUAUCUAGCUUCUUCCUACGAUCUGUGUAUUUUCAACGACUCAUCAGGUUACCUUGGUCCCUGGCAAUGAUCGCACGUAGUUCGUCGACCGUCGCGAAGAAGUCUAAUAAAUCUGGCGACAGCAAAGUGCUGCCUUACUCAGAAAUCCCUGGCCCAAAAGGAACAAUUCAAAAUGUUUUGGAAUACGCGUUCACAAAGGGCGC